GGAGUGCCUUCGGGAGCGCAGUGACAGGUGGUGCAUGGCUGUCGUCAGCUCGUGUCGUGAGAUGUUGGGUUAAGUCCCGCAACGAGCGCAACCCACGUCUUUAGUUGCCAGCAUUAAGUUGGGCACUCUAGAGAGACCGCCGGUGAUAAACCGGAGGAAGGUGUGGAUGACGUCAAGUCAUCAUGCCCCUUACAUCCUGGGCUACACACGUACUACAAUGCUACGGACAAAGGGCCGCAAACUCGCGAGAGCUAGCAAAUCCCAUAAACCGUGGCUCAGUUCAGAUCGUAGGCUGCAACUCGCCUACGUGAAGGAGGAAUCGCUAGUAAUCGCAGGUCAGCAUACUGCGGUGAAUACGUUCCCGGGUCU
rnacentral:rRNA from 1 species